UACGAGGGGAGCUAGCGUUGUUCGGAAUUACUGGGCGUAAAGGGCGUGUAGGCGGUACCAUAAGUCAGAUGUGAAAGCCCUAGGCUUAACCUAGGAAUUGCAUUUGAGACUGUGGAACUAGAGAUCGAGAGAGGUAAGUGGAAUUACGAGUGUAGAGGUGAAAUUCGUAGAUAUUCGUAAGAACACCAGUGGCGAAGGCGACUUACUGGCUCGAUACUGACGCUAAGGCGCGAAAGCGUGGGGAGCAAACAGG
rnacentral:rRNA from 1 species